rnacentral:lncRNA from 1 species
UUGUAAUAAUGUAUUGACAAAGUUUAUGGCCUGAGUACAGGCAGUUCCUGUCCCAGUAUUCAGACCAGAGAGUUAAUUUUGGUACAGAUGCUAUAAGGACAGGCUUUGGAGGUAGAAGGGCAAGCCAUGAUCUUGGUGCUGCCCCCAUGCAGAGCACGUAAUCUCUCCCUGAGCCAUGGCAGCUGCUGCCACUGUUGAUGUUUCUGCCCAUUGCUCAGGAUUCCAGAAGACCCAAGCCUGCACACAACCUGUUCACACCUAUCAUGUCUGCUCUGCUCAUGCUUCAUUGUCUCAUUGGACUUCACGGACCAAGCACAAGUUCAAAGACUAUCAGAUACACCAUCUUUUCUUCUGAGUAAUAGCAGGCACUCUCAGGCUGUCAGAUGAUAUGCCAGGUAUGCACUUGCAAUGUCGACAAGGCCACCCCAGGGUUACAUGUUGGUGUCUUUAGGGAGAAGAAGAGUGAAUCACCAUCCAGCCGUCUGUUUUCUCCUGUUAACCCUAAACCCCAUGUUACAUCUUUUCACAUUUUUAAAAUGAU